AUCGUCGCUGAUUUUACGAACCGGCAUACGAAGCGUUUUUCGUGUCAAUUUUCGAUUUUAAUAUUUUUACAUAUUCUGAAUGAUAUUACCAUGAUCAACCUUUCUGCAAAAUUUUAGGUCAUAAAACGCUUUAAUUAAAAAGUUAUUCGAUUUUAUAAAAUAUGUGCGCUUUGUAUGCCAGUUCGUAAAGCUCGAGUUAACGCGCGAAAAGGGAAUUUGUUGAUUUUACGAACCGGCACGCCUAGCUAUAACUAGUCUGCUAGCAGAAUAGGAUUCACCGAAAUCUGAUGCUUAAACUUCGAGUCUGCGUGGAACUGAUGGAGUUUAUCCAGGAUAGCCUUGUCCCGUAGAACAGGGACAAAUCUACUAACUUGACUGAUAUCAAAAGGAGAAAGAAUUCGGUACCAAGGAGAGGCACUUAGGUGAAAAUGAAAUAGGGCAGCAGGUGGUGGCGGGGAAAAUGUUGGCAGUGUCGGAACCUGGACUUGUACACACCAUGGAUAUGGGAGACAUCCCAUUAGCUGAGCUUGUGAUUCAGAUACGUUCACGCCCAAUGACCGAUGAUACUAAGUUUGACUGCCCACAGACUGACAGCCUAAAAAUGCUCCUGACAGAGUUGAAAUGCCCAUCAGAGGUCCAGCAAGGAUGUAAUGUCCCAUACAUAGACCCCUUUUGAUUGAAGACAAGCCAACUUAAAGCUCACAGAUUGGUGUGAUUCGAUUGGCCCCAGUUCUACAAAAGGAUAGCCCACAGUUUGCUGACAGCCCACACACUGACUGCUAUUAGAACAAUGGUCCACAAAUAAUUGCUCAACAAGUUGAGAGCCAAGGGAUCCCAAACCCAUGGACAACAGGUCACUGGUUUUUAGUUCUCGGACCUGGUGAGGACAUCCCAAAGGCAGAAUGAAACAAAACCCAUGGAGUUGGAUACAGACUUGGAGGAUGAAGUACACAAAGUGGAAUCUGACACAGA
rnacentral:lncRNA from 1 species